rnacentral:ncRNA from 1 species
AAGGUGCUAUGUCGCAUAGCUUAAAAAGGAAUCAAGUGAAAAUCUUGAACGGUCCAGCCACUGUAAGAAAGUUUAUUUUUUCCGUAAGCCACUGGGAAACUGGGAAGGCGAAAAAAUAACAUACUUUCGAGUCAGGAUACUUGCCUCAUUGUU